ACAGUGUAUCUAAACAAGUUGGCUGCUGGAUCAAUCUCUGCCAUGGAUUUUGUACCAUUUCUUUUAGUCUUUUUUCUGGGAAAAAAAAAAAAAAAAAAAAAAAUUGUGUUGGCAAUAUAUUAAUUCUGAACUAGUGUAUGAAAUAGCUGAAAGAAAUGUAUUCAUUUUAUGAAGAAGCCCAUAAUAAAUUGAUAAAAGCUUAUCUUUGCUCUGGGUUCAGGAAAAGAACUGCACGUGGCUGCCCGGUUCACUUUUGAUAAUGGGAAGUAAAGAACCAUCCCAAAAGACAAAUCUCAGGAAGCAGAUGAGAGGACCAAGCACACUCUACAGAUUGAGCCUCAGUGCCUCUGGGAUUUUAACAUGCGCAGCAAAGUUAAUAGAAGGACGUCUGAAAGAGCUGGCAGGAGAAGGCUGAGCAAGAGUAGAUGUUGGCUGAGAUGUCAGCAAAAACAGUGAUGUCUUAUUUAGAUAUCUCAGGCUCCACUUACAGUUGGCUGGGACCACUGGAUAAAGAUGACUACGUUUUGCUAAUGAAUUGAUAGUGAAGAAAAUCGUCAACCCUGAAAAAAAUUCUACCAGAGGAGAGAUAGAAAAUUACGCUGUUUAUAUGAAGAAGAAUUGAUCAGAUGUAUUUGCUUCCUGCUGUGACAUAAAGCAAAAUUGUUCAGAAGCUACAUCAAUUUGCCUGUCAAAUUUAUAGGCUCAUGUGAAUAAAGACAGAAUCACUUUACA
rnacentral:lncRNA from 1 species